CUUCGCAGGAACUGACACCGUGAAGGAGAUAAGGGAGACUCACAGUCCGUCGCAGUGUUAUUUUGAUAGCUGAAUAUCUGGUCUGGUGAAGCAACUGAGGUCUCUUUACCCAUCCUGUGACUUCCCUGUGUGGCUGACACCUUCCCCACAUACUGAGUAACACUCAUGUCCCGCCAUCAAUAUCUUGGAGUGAUGGUAACAGUAGUGUUAUAUAUAAUAACACUGCUGGGGCCUGCCUCGGGUUACGACAGCGGGGAUUUAUUAGAGCAGACCAACGCGACUGAUCUUACUGAGGCGACUGCCGCUGAGGACAUCAGCAGGGUCAGGUGCAUAGCAUGUCCAUCUGGCUGUGAUCAUUGUCACCAGUAUGUGAAUGGCCAGUGCCGACCAAUCUUUGGCUGCCAGUAACAAGUCUAUACUCCGAAGCCACCAUCACUACCACUGCUCACAAAACACAUUGAAUUUCUAUAUAACAUGUAAUAUCAUUUAGUAUUAUAUAUAUAUAUAUAUAUAUAUAUAUAUAUAUAUAUAUAUAUAUAUAUAUAUAUAUAUAUAUAUAUAUAUAUAUAUAUAUAUAUAUAUAUUAUAGACAGAAUGAGAGCAUAACCUUUUGAUUUGACUGUACAUUGAAAUUACCCAUUUUAUAUUCAGCUAAAAAUGUUCUAUAAGAGUCAGUGAGUCCUUCAAAAGUUUCCUAGGAUUAAUAAGUUUAUUUGGUAAGUUGCAAGAACUAUAAUUUGUAUCUCUUUAAUCUAGUGUCAUCUGAGACAUACAUGACUUUUUAUGCUUAUGAAAUGCAAAUAAAUUACUUAUUGUGUAUUUACAAAUGAAUAAAGCUUCAAACAAGAUGUAACAGUA